rnacentral:rRNA from 1 species
UAGAGUUUGAUCAUGGCUCAGAUUGAACGCUGGCGGCAGGCCUAACACAUGCAAGUCGAGCGGAUGAGGGGUGCUUGCACCCUGAUUCAGCGGCGGACGGGUGAGUAAUGCCUAGGAAUCUGCCCGAUAGUGGGGGACAACGUUUCGAAAGGAACGCUAAUACCGCAUACGUCCUACGGGAGAAAGUGGGGGCUCUUCGGACCUCACGCUAUCGGAUGAGCCUAGGUCGGAUUAGCUAGUUGGUGGGGUAAAGGCUCACCAAGGCGACGAUCCGUAACUGGUCUGAGAGGAUGAUCAGUCACACUGGAACUGAGACACGGUCCAGACUCCUACGGGAGGCAGCAGUGGGGAAUAUUGGACAAUGGGCGAAAGCCUGAUCCAGCCAUGCCGCGUGUGUGAAGAAGGUCUUCGGAUUGUAAAGCACUUUAAGUCGGGAGGAAGGGCUGUAAGCGAAUACCUUGCAGCUUUGACGUUACCGACAGAAUAAGCACCGGCUAACUUCGUGCCAGCA